rnacentral:lncRNA from 1 species
UUUUGUAAAGAGUUCAUCCAGAAAGGUUUUUCUUUCCUUAUUAUAAAGGGUACAUUUAAAUAAAAAAUGUUCUUCGUCUUCAACCGAGUUCAUUGAACAAAACUGGCAUGUUCUCUCUGAUCUUGGCAGUGUAAUAUUUUUUCCAUGUUCAUCAAUUUUUCGUUCGUAACGGCCUCUCUCUAUGCGGAGACAAUGAUUGCU